GACGAACGCUGGCGGUGUGCUUAACACAUGCAAGUCGAACGGUAAGGCCCUUUCGGGGGUACACGAGUGGCGCACGGGUGAGUAACACGUGAGUAACCUGCCCUCAUCUCUGGGAUAACAGUCGGAAACGGUUGCUAAUACUGGAUAUGAGCCUGCAAGGCAUCUUGUGGGUUGGAAAGAUUUUUUGGUUGGGGAUGGACUCGCGGCCUAUCAGCUUGUUGGUGAGGUAGUGGCUCACCAAGGCUUCGACGGGUAGCCGGCCUGAGAGGGCGACCGGCCACAGUGGGACUGAGAUACGGCCCAAACUCCUACGGGAGGCAGCAGUGGGGAAUAUUGCACAAUGGACGGAAGUCUGAUGCAGCAACGCCGCGGGCGGGAUGACGGCCUUCGGGUUGUAAACCGCUUUCAAUUGUGACGAAGCUUUUUGUGACGGUAGCAGUAGAAGAAGCACCGGCUAACUACGUG
rnacentral:rRNA from 1 species